rnacentral:piRNA from 1 species
UCGUGUGUUUCAAGCUGCCCACACUUCAC